rnacentral:tRNA from 1 species
GCUGGUUUGCCUGAGAGGUUAAGGGGAGAGACUUAAUAUCUCCUACACAUAAGUGCACAUGGGUUUGAACCCCAUAGCCAGCA